GGACGAUCUCAAACAACUACCAGACCUGAUGGGGGACAGGAUCCCGACUCCCUUAGAUAGGUUACGCUAUUUCCAAGUCAAGUCAUACUAUAAAGCACAAAACGGGAAACACCUCUUCCACAGACCCCUGACAGAGUUUGAGGGACUGUGCACAAAUAGGACACAUCCCCCUAGGGGGAUCUCACUCUUAUAUGCCCUGCUAAUAGCAGCAACCCCACUAGAACCGGCAAAACACGCUGCACACUGGGAGAAAGCCACGGGAAUCACGCU